UACAGAGGGUGCAAGCGUUAAUCGGAAUUCCUGGGCGUAAAGCGUGCGUAGACGGUUACAUACGUCGGGUGUGAAAGCCCCGGGCUCAACCUGGGAAUUGCAUUCGAGACUGCGUAGCUAGGGUGCGGAAGAGGGAAGCGGAAUUUCCGGUGUAGCGGUGAAAUGCGUAGAUAUCGGAAGGAACACCAGUGGCGAAAGCGGCUUCCUGGUCCAGCACCGACGUUCAGGCACGAAAGCGUGGGGAGCAAACAGG
rnacentral:rRNA from 1 species